AGCCCUGGCAGUGCUGUGUGUGGAGGUAGGAGUGGAAGUCAUCACAAGGGCACAGCGGGAACAAAGGUGCCGCACUGUGGCAACUCGGACAUGUGCUGGGAGAAGUGGGUCUCUGAGCAUUAUCUCCAUGUCCUAGGAUAGGGAUGGCAGCUUCCUGUGAGUGGCUGCGGCUGUGGCCCCUUGCUAAGCUCAGGCUCUCCCCAGAGGCUGUCAGGACCUAUGGGGGGUUAGCAUCUUCAGACUUCCAGCCCUGCAUAGGAAGAAAAUGUGGAAGGAAUGAAGUAGCCCAGCCCAGCCCAGGAGCAGGGCAGGAGUGUAGGGAGAAGGAAAGCCUGGGUCCUGUCCCGUAGGACCUGCCGUUCAAACAGAAGGAGGCCUCUGGGGGACAGCCACUCGGGAAACGUAGGAUAAAGAGAGACACUCAAAGCGGGGAGUCUUAGAGGCAAGAGGAGGCAGAGGCCUUGGAAGGAAGCAGCCAUGAAGACUUGGGAGCAGGUUUAAGGGUCCCGAAGCACAUAAGGGAAACCGAUCUCUUUUUGGCUUACAGGCACUGCCCCUGGCUCAUCUCUCCCAGGAACUUUUGCCUCCCUGGGCCUCAGUGGCCAUAUCUUUGGGCUCCCACAUCCCAGCUGGGCAAAGAGAGCAAAAAGAAACGUCAGGCUGAUCCCAGCUCCUCCGUUGGCUUUAGCCUGCCUCUUGGCCCAUGGCUCCCAGACUGUCACCCCUUAGGAGGCACCAACGGCCCCUUGUCUUGUACUUAUAGCCACUUAAUCUGUUUGAGCGGAUAACCCCCAAUAUAUCUCCAAAUAUUGAUCAGCGUUGGGCUGAUAGAAGUUCAAGCUCACAAGGUCUCGCUCUUUGACCCCCAAAUAGGGUAUGAAUCUCAAUCGAAUAGACUGAUACUCACACUUGGCUUCUACGAACGGGCUGGAGGCUGUGAGAAAAUC
rnacentral:lncRNA from 1 species